GUGAAUCAUCGAAUUUUUGAACGCAUAUUGCACUCUCUGGGAUUCCGGAGAGUGUGUCUGUUUGAGGGUAAUUAAAAACAAUCUUUUACCAAUUUUUUUGGUCAAAGGAUAUGAGUUCUCCGCGUCUUUAGCGGUAGUUUGAUAUACAUGGUCAAGUUUCAUUUUAGUCGAGUCGCGUAAUAAUAUUAUUUCGCCAAUUCAUCAUUAUGUUAU
rnacentral:misc_RNA from 1 species